AGAGUUUGAUCCUGGCUCAGGAUGAACGCUAGCGAUAGGCCUAACACAUGCAAGUCGAGGGGUAGCAUAGAGUAGCAAUACUUUGAUGGCGACCGGCGCACGGGUGAGUAACACGUAUGCAACCUACCUACAUCAGGGGAAUAACCCGGAGAAAUUCGGACUAAUACCGCAUAAUACAGGGAUGCCGCAUGGCAAUAUUUGUUAAAGAUUUAUCGGAUGUAGAUGGGCAUGCGUUCCAUUAGCUAGUUGGUAAGGUAACGGCUUACCAAGGCAACGAUGGAUAGGGGAACUGAGAGGUUUGUCCCCCACACUGGAACUGAGACACGGACCAGACUCCUACGGGAGGCAGCAGUGAGGAAUAUUGGUCAAUGGACGAGAGUCUGAACCAGCCAAAUCGCGUGAAGGAAGACUGCCCUACGGGUUGUAAACUUCUUUUGUACAGGAAUAAAAGACAUUACGUGUAAUGUAUUGCAUGUACUGUACGAAUAAGCAUCGGCUAACUCCGUGCCAGCAGCCGCGGUAAUACGGAGGAUGCGAGCGUUAUCCGGAUUUAUUGGGUUUAAAGGGUGCGCAGGCGGGAUUUUAAGUCAGCGGUGAAAUUUUCAGGCUCAACCUGAACACUGCCGUUGAAACUGGGAUUCUUGAGUAUGGAUGAAGUAGGCGGAAUUCGUUGUGUAGCGGUGACAUGCUUAGAUAUAACGAGGAACUCCGAUUGCGUAGGCAGCUUACUAAGCCAUAACUGACGCUCAAGCACGAAAGCGUGGGGAUCAAACAGGAUUAGAUACCCUGGUAGUCG
rnacentral:rRNA from 1 species